AUUGAACGCUGGCGGCAGGCUUAACACAUGCAAGUCGAGCGAGCGGCGGACGGGUGAGUAAUGUCUGGGAAACUGCCUGAUGGAGGGGGAUAACUACUGGAAACGGUAGCUAAUACCGCAUACCAUCAGAUGUGCCCAGAUGGGAUAAGCUAGUAGGGGGGGUAAUGGCUCACCUAGGCGACGAUCCCUAGCUGGUCUGAGAUGAUGACCAGCCACACUGGACAUGAGACACGGCGCAGACUCCUACGGGAGGCGGCAGUGGGGAAUAUUGAACAAUGGGCGCAAGCCUGAUGCAACCAAGCGGAGUGUGUGAAGAAGGACGUCGGGUUGUAAAGCAAUUUCAGCGAGGAGGCGUUACUCGCAGAAGAAGCACCGGCUAACGCAGUGCCAGCAGCCGCGGUAAUC
rnacentral:rRNA from 1 species